rnacentral:rRNA from 1 species
UACGUAGGGUGCAAGCGUUGUCCGGAAUUAUUGGGCGUAAAGAGCUCGUAGGCGGUCUGUUGCGUCGGCUGUGAAAACCCGAAGCUCAACCUCGGGCCUGCAGCCGAUACGGGCAGACUAGAGUUCGGCAGGGGAGACUGGAAUUCCUGGUGUAGCGGUGAAAUGCGCAGAUAUCAGGAGGAACACCGGUGGCGAAGGCGGGUCUCUGGGCCGAUACUGACGCUGAGGAGCGAAAGCGUGAGGAGCGAACAGG